UAUUGCAGACAAAGUUUAACAAGUAGCAUAACAAGAAUGGGUGUUUCAAUCUAACCCCCUUGACGACGAUGACGAAGCUAGCGGUAACAUAACGUUAUGAUUUCUUAGCCUACUUUGUUGGCCUAAUUACCGUUAACGUCAGUGUUGGUGGUUUGUCAAAAACAUUUGCUGUAACGUUAGCUAUACUUGCAUAAUUAUGUGGUUUUCAAAGAAAAGUGUGAUCUAAUCAUUUUAGAAAUAGCUUAACAGUUAACCAGUAUUGCAUGACUUAGAAUAUAGCGAUUGGUAAUUGGGCAUUUCAUCGUUAUCUAUCAAACUUCAGGCACUAGGCAGGCAGGACUGAGACUGUAUGCCUUAAGAGUGUGUGUGUGUGUGAGAGAGAGAGAGAUAGUAGCAGGGUGGGUCCUGUCCUGGUCAUGUAAAGCUCAUCAAAAUCUGUAAUUUAAGGUCGUUCUGUAUUUUGUAUUGAGGGGUUGUUUAUGAUCAUGUAAUCAUUUUGAACACAUAUACUUCCAUUAACCUAACGUUACUGUGACUUUUUUUAAAUGUACACCUCAGAAUCCAGGCCACACUGACCAGAUACCUGCACUCCUUUGGAUGAAGAAGGCUACCCGUGUAUACAUGUGUGAACCAUUUCUUGUGUUGGAAAAACAGGAGACCUGAAGAGCUCUUGAUGCUUUUGGUUUGCCUCAUCCAUUAUGUCAGCAAAGAACAGGAGUGGGCAGGAAACAUGCGCUGUUGAAAACAUGGCCAACCAACUGGAGCACCCACAAGGCUCUUGUGAAGGAAGUCCACAAGCCUUUGUGCUUCAGGAUGGAUGGAAAGAACUCUUUGAUCAACCCCCACAGAGAGCUGAGAUGGCUAUCUUUUGGAGACACCCCCGGCUGGUAGUGCUGCUGAAACUGGUGGAGGCAACAAUGAAGCGGCAACAGAAAGAGAAGGCAGGUGGCAAAGGUUGCUGCUAUUGAAAAAUACUUUGAGAGUGAGUGUGUGUGCAUGUAUGUAGCUGGGUAGGUCAUGGUACAUGGUACAAAAAUACAGAAUUUAAAGCACUAGCACAACACUUAACU